AGAGGAAGUAAAAGUCGUAACAAGGUUUCCGUAGGUGAACCUGCGGAAGGAUCAUUAUUGAAUGAAUGUAGAGUUGGUUGUCGCUGGUUCUUCUGGGACAUGUGCACACCUUCUCUUUCAUCCACACACACCUGUGCACCUGUAGACGGAGGCUGGUUUCCUCGCAAGAGGUACGGUUUCCGUCUGUCAAAUAUACAAACUCAUAUAUAUAAUCUGAAUGUAAUUGAUGUAACACAUCUUUAAACUAAGUUUCAGCAACGGAUCUCUUGGCUCUCGCAUCGAUGAAGAACGCAGCGAAAUGCGAUAAGUAAUGUGAAUUGCAGAAUUCAGUGAAUCAUCGAAUCUUUGAACGCACCUUGCGCUCCUUGGUAUUCCUUGGAGCAUGCCUGUUUGAGUAUCAUGAAAUUAUCAAAACAAAAUCUUUUUGUUCAUUCAAUUGGUUUUGGUUUGGACUUGGAGGUCUGCAGAUUCACGUCUGCUCCUCUUAAAAUCAUUAGCUGGAUCUCAGUGAGCUCGGUUCCACUCGGCGUGAUAAGUAUCACUCGCUGAGGACACUCGUAAAAAAGGUGGCCGGGAUUGCAGAUGAACC
rnacentral:rRNA from 1 species